rnacentral:rRNA from 1 species
UACGUAGGGUGCGAGCGUUAAUCGGAAUUACUGGGCGUAAAGCGUGCGCAGGCGGUCCGCAAAGUCUGAUGUGAAAGCCCCGGGCUCAACCUGGGAGCUGCAUUGGAAACUAACGGGCUCGAGUGUGGCAGAGGGGGGUGGAAUUCCACGUGUAGCAGUGAAAUGCGUAGAGAUGUGGAGGAACACCGAUGGCGAAGGCAGCCCCCUGGGCUAACACUGACGCUCAGGCACGAAAGCGUGGGGAGCAAACAGG